rnacentral:misc_RNA from 1 species
CGCACAUUGCGCCCUUUGGCAUUCCGAAGGGCAUGCCCGUUCGAGCGUCAUUUCACCAAUCAAGCCUCGCUUGGUAUUGGGCGAGGGGUGCACCACCCCCGCCUCCAUUCCACCGGCUGAACGAUUAGAAUCUUAGCGUUGUGAUCAUCAAAUCGCUGAAGAGGAUCGUCGGGCGAGCCGUUAAACCUCAUCAAAGGUUGACCUCGGAUCGGGUAGGGAUACCCGCUGAACUUAA